rnacentral:rRNA from 1 species
CUACGGGCGGCUGCAGUGGGGAAUAUUGCACAAUGGGCGCAAGCCUUAUGCAGCCAUGCCGCGUGUAUGAAGAAGGCCUUCGGGUUGUAAAGUACUUUCAGCGGGGAGGAAGGGAGUAAAGUUAAUACCUUUGCUCAUUGACGUUACCCGCAGAAGAAGCACCGGCUAACUCCGUGCCAGCAGCCGCGGUAAUACGGAGGGUGCAAGCGUUAAUCGGAAUUACUGGGCGUAAAGCGCACGCAGGCGGUUUGUUAAGUCAGAUGUGAAAUCCCCGGGCUCAACCUGGGAACUGCAUCUGAUACUGGCAAGCUAGAGUCUCGUAGAGGGGGGUAGAAUUCCAGGUGUAGCGGUGAAAUGCGUAGAGAUCUGGAGGAAUACCGGUGGCGAAGGCGGCCCCCUGGACGAAGACUGACGCUCAGGUGCGAAAGCGUGGGGAGCAAACAGGAUUAGAUACCCCAGUAGUC